UGUGUAGAAAGUGUAACUGAGUUAUUUCCAUACUUUCCUCAUGCACAUCACAGCCCAUGCUGAUUAAUUCUGGGGAGGCUGGGGUAAUAACGCCGGCACCCCAGAAAUGCCACAACUCAUUGUGUAUGAGAUAUUAUGUUUCAGAGCGGUGGCAGAUUGCAAUAAUGGAGCAGCGUAAAGAUUGAUUUACUCCGCCUGAGUAAUUAAAGACUGUGAAGAGCGACCCGUCUCCGUCAGCUGGAAACCUCCACCGGCGUCUUUGUGUGCGUCUGUCAGCAGAGGAGGAGGGUUUCAGGGAGCAGCGAGGGCAUCAUCAAUCAGGCAUCCUCUUACUGGGCUCACUGGACUAAAGCCUGGGAACCAGAGCGACGAUGACCAUUCUCAUCAAGCAAAAUGAGCUCAGAUACUCUGGAAGUGAAACCAGAGCCCGGCUGCUUCACAGCGUGGUGUCCUGUAUUUUUAGACAAAAGCUCAGAGAGAAACAGUCUUUUAGCUCAAACAUCUGCACUGCGCACAGUUUCACAUAUUCUUCACUGAUGAGAAAAAAGUUACAUUUUUUUUUAAAGUCUGGUGAAAUGUAGACAAAGCAACGUUAAAUUGUCAAGGCACCACGUUACCUGUGAAAACAACACACCCUCAUGUCCAGACAAUUUUCACUGUUCACUGUGAAAAUUGCAGUACAGCAGCUUACCACUGACAGUUCCCCAGACAUCCAUAAAAAAAUCUCUCAACUUUGUGAGUUGUUGAGUUUGGAGAAUCUUAAACUUGGUAAUGAAAAAAUGCUGGCAAUGACAAAUUCUUAGUUAUCUUCUUGUUAAUUCAGCAAAUGUUGCACAUAGGAGGAGAGGAGCAUAUACAGUAUAACACAGAUCUUCUUGUUUGUCUCUGUGAACAGAGACUCCAGUCUGCAGCGGAAUUCAUACACUUAACCAGGAUAUUGUCAAAUAACAUCAGUGUUUCUUGAUCAAAGAAAGAUUUAAUAUCCUGUGGACAUCAGUUGAUGAUUUUCAUACCUUGUUUUGUCCUUUUUAGCUUCAGCCUUUAUGCCUCAGCAACCCUACUUCCCGUGUCCAUGGGGUGUACUGGACAUUUGUCGUUCGCUUGGCUGGUUUUAGGCAAGAAAGCUACUUGGUGAGUUUUAGGAAAACACUGUCAUUUGAGUUAAAAUAGCUGUGUUACUUAUGUGAAUUAUGUAAAAUACCAAUGCUUUGUACAGAAUUCAAAGGGGCUCGAUGUAACAAUUUGGAACAUGUAUUUUGUCACUGUUUUUUAUUGUCCGUAUGUGAGCAGAUUAUAAUGUAAUGUGAAAAAUGAGA